AUUGAACGCUGGCGGCAGGCCUAACACAUGCAAGUCGAGCGGAUGAAGGGAGCUUGCUCCUGGAUUCAGCGGCGGACGGGUGAGUAAUGCCUAGGAAUCUGCCUGGUAGUGGGGGAUAACGUCCGGAAACGGGCGCUAAUACCGCAUACGUCCUGAGGGAGAAAGUGGGGGAUCGUCGGACCUCACGCUAUCAGAUGAGCCUAGGUCGGAUUAGCUAGUUGGUGGGGUAAAGGCCUACCAAGGCGACGAUCCGUAACUGGUCUGAGAGGAUGAUCAGUCACACUGGAACUGAGACACGGUCCAGACUCCUACGGGAGGCAGCAGUGGGGAAUAUUGGACAAUGGGCGAAAGCCUGAUCCAGCCAUGCCGCGUGUGUGAAGAAGGUCUUCGGAUUGUAAAGCACUUUAAGUUGGGAGGAAGUGCAGUAAGUUAAUACCCUGCUGUUUUGACGUUACCAACAGAAUAAGCACCGGCUAACUUCGUG
rnacentral:rRNA from 1 species